rnacentral:rRNA from 1 species
GCAGUCGAGCGACGCAAUCCCUUCGGGGAGAAGACGGAGCGGCGAACGGGUGAGUAACACGUGGGCAACCUGCCCCUAGCUCUGGGACAACUCCUCGAAAGAGGGGCUAAUACCGGAUACGACCUCGGAAGACAUCUUCUGAGGUGGAAAGUUUUUCGGCUAGGGAUGGGCCCGCGGCCUAUCAGCUUGUUGGUGGGGUAAUGGCCUACCAAGGCGACGACGGGUAGCCGGCCUGAGAGGGCGACCGGCCACACUGGGACUGAGACACGGCCCAGACUCCUACGGGAGGCAGCAGUGGGGAAUAUUGCGCAAUGGGCGAAAGCCUGACGCAGCGACGCCGCGUGAGGGAUGAAGGCCUUCGGGUUGUAAACCUCUUUCAGCAGGGACGAAAACAGACGGUACCUGCAGAAGAAGCACCGGCCAACUACGUGCCAGCAGCCGCGGUAAUACGUAGGGUGCAAGCGUUGUCCGGAAUUAUUGGGCGUAAAGAGCUCGUAGGCGGUUUGUCGCGUCGGCUGUGAAAACUCGGGGCUCAACCCCGAGCCUGCAGUCGAUACGGGCAGACUAGAGUGCUGUAGGGGAGACUGGAAUUCCUGGUGUAGCGGUGAAAUGCGCAGAUAUCAGGAGGAACACCGGUGGCGAAGGCGGGUCUCUGGGCAGUAACUGACGCUGAGGAGCGAAAGCGUGGGGAGCAAACAGG